CUCAGACACCUGGAGUUGGUCCCAACGGGAUGGUGCUUGAAGCUUGGAUAAACGGGAGCCUAGCAUCAUAACGAUGGAGAUGCUGGAACUGCCCCAGCAGAGUCUUGAGGAACAGGGUCAAAAUGAUCAGAGAGGGGUUCAGGCUGCAAUGUCAGUCCGCAUCAGUGGACUGUCUCCCAGAGGGCUCGCUUCACGAGUUUGCAGGUGACGAACUGAAGCUCAGCGAGACUAACUAACUCAUCCAAUUUGAUGUGGCCCAGGAGAGGAGGAACACUGCAGCGAAGCAAAACAGAAAAGAAGUAACAAAUAGGCCAGCAGGCACAUGCGCUGGGGGUCCUCUUUGUCUUUUUACACCCAGCGUCUAGAACAAUCGUGGCCCAUUACACUGCAGAUGCUCAAUUAACACCUGCUACAUUCCUGAAACUCGAGCCCCAGAAUCCUGAGACUGGAAUAUAAAACACAAGAUAUUACAUAAAAGAGGCCACCACAAGAUUAUUUUGAUUACUCCUUUACUUGGAGAGUUUUCUUUAAAAUCAACGUCAGGUGUUUGUUGCCACGGCACUGCCCACCACUGCUCUGCGUACCCGUCAUGUCUGGUACAGCUACUGCACGGGAAGAAAGACGGAAGUUCUCCACUCCCCGUCAGACCACCUCAAGGCUUGCAACAUCUCCCACAAACUUGGUGCGCACCCGGACAAGUUCCUCUCCGUUCACGUUAACCCGCUGUGGCCAUCCACAUUUUGAAAGCAUUCACACAGAGAGCGAGCGUUCACAAUUUUCAGCUUCUCCAGCACCAAGUGCUGCAUUGUGUGCAGGACAGCCAGCUUGGGAUGAG
rnacentral:lncRNA from 1 species